UUAUUUUUAAAGUUUUAAGCUAGUUGGCUUUACAACACAUUAUAAAAUUAGAGAUAAAUUAUUUAAACCUUUAUUAAUAUCACCCUAGUACAGUGUUAGUAAAAACUGAGACUUUUUUAACAUUAUAUUUUUUUUUGAGACAGAGUUUCACUCUUGCUGCCCAGGCUGGAGUGCAAUGGCGCAAUCUCAGCUCACUGCAACCUCCGCCUCCUGGGUUCAAGCAAUUCUCCUGCCUCAGCCUCCCCAGUAUGCAAUGUGGUACAGAGAAGCCAAAAGAUUGGACAUCCCUGUUAGACUUUCUAUUGGUAGGGGGGGGUAUAUACAUAAAAAAGUAUACACACACACACACACACACACACACACACACACACACACACUUUCUUUAUGGAGAUUAAAUAUCCUUUCAUGCAGAGGAAUGUUCUGUUUCAGUGAUGGAUGGGCAGAGUGGGUGAGGAUGACAGAAAAAUCUGGAGAGGAAAUCAAGAUCCGCUAUUGGGUCAGGGCUGAGCCAAAGAUUAUAGUGUUUAAUAAGCAUAAGCAAAAGUUUUGGCCUUUCCCUCAUUUCUUUGAUGUACAUCUUUGAGGCUUGGUUACUUAGGGAUGUAUUUCAUAAUCUUUUAAAAAUAAUCCUUUACUUUCUUUUUUUGUUUUGUUUUUUUUGGGGUGGAGUCUCACUGUGUCACCUAGGCUGGAGUGCAGUGGCGCGAUCUCGGCUCACUGCAAGCUCCGCCUCCCGGGUUCCCUGCCUCAGCCUCCCGAGUAGCUGGGACUACAGGCGCCCGCCACCGUGCCCGCCUAACUUUUUUUGUAUUUUUUGGUAGAGACGGGGUUUCAUCGUGUUAGCCAGGAUGGUCUCGAUCUCCUGACCUCGUGAUCCGCCCGCCUUGGCCUCCCAAAGUGCUGGGAUUACAGGCGUGAGCCACCGCGCCCGGCCUAAUCCUUUACUUUCUACCAUAAAGACACAUACACAUGUAUGUUCAUUGCAGCACUAUUUACAGUAGCAAAAACAUGGACUCAGCCUAAAUACCCAUAAAUGAUGGACUAGAUAAAGAAAAUUUGGUACAUAUACACAAUGGAAUACUACACAGCCAUAAAAAAGAAUGAGGUGACGUCCUUUGCAGCAACAUGAAUCCAGCUGGAGGUCAUUAUCCUAAGGUGAUUAAUGUAGGAAGAGAAAAUCAAAUACUGCAUGUUCUCACUUAUAAGUGGGAGCUAAACAUGAAAUAAACGUGGACACAAGAGAACAAUAGACACUGGGGCCCACUUGAGGUGGGAAGGUGGAAGGAGGGUGAGUACCUACUGGAUACUAUGCUUAUUACCUGGGAGAUAAAAUAAUUUGUACAACAAACCCCUGUGACACACAAUUUAUCCAUGUAACAAACAUGUACCCCACGAACAUAAAAGUUGAAAAGAAUAAAUGAAAUAAAAUAAUGAUUUAGAUAAGUGCUAAUUUCUAUUCAGUAAUAGUUCCUGUUUAAAAAGUAUCUACUGGGCUGAGCGCGGUGGCUCAUGCCUAUAGUCCCAGCACUUUGGGAGGCCGAGUUGGGCGGAUCACAAGGUCAGGAGUUCGAGACUAGCCUGGCCAACAAUAGGGUGAAACCCCGUCUCUACUAAAAAUACAAAAAUUAGCCGAGUAUGGUGGCGCAUGCCUGUAGUCCCAGCUACUUGGGAGGCUGAGGGAGAAGAAUCGCUUGAACCCGGGUGGCGGAGGUUGCAGUGAGCCGAGAUCAUGACACUGCCCUCCAGCCUGGGCGACAGAGCAAGACUCCAUCGCAAAAAAAAAAAAAAAAAAAAAAAAAACCAAGAGAAACAAAGUAUCUACCAAGAGUUUUGUAAACUUUUAUCCCAACUAAUUCUCUCAAUAAUGCUAUGAGGGAGGCAUUAUUUACAUUUUGUGUGUGCGAACACAGAGGUUCAGGUAGGGGAAAUGAUUUUUAGCUUGCAAGGUUCAACUAUAAAUGGUCUUCUAGCUGGUGAGUGGUUUAAUGUGAAUUCUGAUCCAGACCUGACCGUUU
rnacentral:lncRNA from 1 species